rnacentral:rRNA from 1 species
GAUGAACGCUGGCGGCGUGCCUAAUACAUGCAAGUCGAGCGAACGGCCUCGACUCUUGCUUCUCUGCUGUUAGCGGCGGCCUGGGAAGUAACACGUGGAUAACCUACCUCUCAGACUGGGAUAACUUCGUGAAACCGGUGCUACUACCGGAUGAUCUUUUGAACCGCAUGGUUCAAAAGUGAAAGACGGUCUUGCUGUCACUUAUAGAUGGAUCCGCGCUGCAUUAGCUAGUUGGUAAGGUAACGGCUUACCAAGGCAACGAUGCAUAGCCGACCUGAGAGGGGGAUCGGCCACACGGGAAGUGAGACACGGUCCAGACUCCUGGGGGAGGCAGCAGUAGGGAAUCUUACGCAAGGGGGGAAAGCGUGACGGAGCAAAGCCGCGUGAGGGAUGAAGGUCUUAGGAUGGUAAAACGCAGUUAGUAGGGAAGAACAUAUGUGUAAGCAACGGUGCAGAUCGUGACGGUACCUAAUGAGAAAGCCACGGCUAACUACGUG